rnacentral:rRNA from 1 species
GACGAACGCUGGCGGCGUGCUUAACACAUGCAAGUCGAACGGAAAGGCCCUGCUUUUGUUGGGUGCUCGAGUGGCGAACGGGUGAGUAACACGUGAGUAACCUGCCCUUGACUUUGGGAUAACUUCAGGAAACUGGGGCUAAUACCGGAUAGGAGCUCCUGCUGCAUGGUGGGGGUUGGAAAGUUUCGGCGGUUGGGGAUGGACUCGCGGCUUAUCAGCUUGUUGGUGGGGUAGUGGCUUACCAAGGCUUUGACGGGUAGCCGGCCUGAGAGGGUGACCGGCCACAUUGGGACUGAGAUACGGCCCAGACUCCUACGGGAGGCAGCAGUGGGGAAUAUUGCACAAUGGGCGGAAGCCUGAUGCAGCAACGCCGCGUGCGGGAUGACGGCCUUCGGGUUGUAAACCGCUUUCGCCUGUGACGAAGCGUGAGUGACGGUAAUGGGUGAAGAAGCACCGGCUAACUACGUG